rnacentral:rRNA from 1 species
CUACGUGCCAGCAGCCGCGGUAAUACGUAGGGGGCAAGCGUUAUCCGGAUUCAUUGGGCGUAAAGCGCUCGUAGGCGGUCUGUUAGGUCGGGAGUUAAAUCCGGGGGCUCAACCCCCGUUCGCUCCCGAUACCGGCAGACUUGAGUUUGGUAGGGGAAGGUGGAAUUCCUAGUGUAGCGGUGGAAUGCGCAGAUAUUAGGAAGAACACCAGUGGCGAAGGCGGCCUUCUGGGCCAUAACUGACGCUGAGGAGCGAAAGCUAGGGGAGCAAACAGGAUUAGAUACCCUGGUAGUCCUAGCCGUAAACGAUGGACACUAGGUGUGGGGGAAUAUUUCUUCCGUGCCGCAGCUAACGCAUUAAGCACUCCGCCUGGGGAGUACGACCGCAAGGUUGAAACUCAAAGGAAUUGACGGGGGCCCGCACAAGCGGUGGAGCAUGUGGUUUAAUUCGAAGCAACGCGAAGAACCUUACCAGGUCUUGACAUCCCUCUGACCGCUCUAGAGAUAGAGCUUUC